CUGGCUGAUAUGAACAUGUCAAUAACUAAUUUUGAAUUGCCUAUGUUUAGACAAAUUUGCUAACUAUAUGAAAACAUAUACAAUACUAAGAGUGUCAAGCGAUGAUGGAAUACAUUUAUUAAACAUUGACACUAAUCCAAUGUACUUUCUUGCAAAUUCAAACUGUGAUAUAAUCUGGUAUUAAGAAGCCAAGCAUUUAGGAAGGCUGCCUCACUAAAAAGAGAGAUUUGUGCAAAAGGAGGAGGACCACCACCUCAACCACUUAAUGAAGUUGAAGAGCGGGUAAAUAUGAUUACAUUGGCAUAUCAAAGAUUACUAUAACUUCUAUGUAAUCAGCCAGGCUAAAUGACACAUUCACAGCAUAUAUUGUAAUCACUUGUAUGAAUUGUUUUCACAUUUGAUACAUAUAUUCACAUCUAUCAUGAACAGGGUUACUACAUAAAACAUUAUUAAUGUUUCAUUGUUAUGUGUUACAAAUCUUUGAAAUUUACAAUCUUCAUAAAAAAUUAUUUACAGAUUGUAUCACUGAUUCCCUCCUGUCAAAUUGAUGGUUGUGAAGGUGGAUUGGAGAGUGAUGUCAAUGAAUUUGUUCCUGAAGACCUGACAAAUGCCUGUCUACCUGACGAGCAGUCAGUGUUCGUUAUACCACCAUCACCACCACAGCUGUGUCACAACAGAAACAGCAGUUGUUCAGACUGUACUAGCUGUGGAAGGACACAUUCCAACCACAAGAGACAAAUUGAUAGCUUUAGAGGAAAGGAAAGUGGAGAUCCUGCAGCAGUUGCUGUCAGUAGAAAUCCAGCGUCUCAGUAUUGAGGAAAGAAAUCUUGCUAUAAAUGAAAGAAAUUUGAAAAUAAAUGAAGAAAAAUUGUUGCUGAAACAAGCAGAAAAGAAUGUUCAGUGCCUGUCUCCUCUUAUUCCAUUUCAUCAUUAAGUAAUAUUUCAGCUUUGUUGUCCUAUUUAAAUAUAUAUGUUGUAAUAUUUGACUCUGCUUAGUCUAUUUCAGGAGAGGGGCAGUGGGGUAGCAUUGUGGUUAAAGAGUUUGCUCAUCGCGCCAAACACCCAGGGUUCUAAUCCCCACAUGGGUUCAAUGUGUGAAGCCCAUUGCUGGUGUCCCCCGCUGUGAUAUUGCUGGAACAUUGCGAAAAGCGGCAUAAAUACACACUCACUCACUCACUAUUUGGAAGAAACAUUUCAGUUCAUGUCAGAAUGUUUAAUUUUUUUUAACAUGUUCAGUAUUGUUCACUGUCUUGAGAAAAAUUGGCGGAUUACACCAUGCCUAGUUUGAAACCCAUCACAAAUAGGUCCAAGAUAUACUGUGUCAUCACUGGCAACUUCAUCAGCCUGGGAAGGUGGCAGUGGUAUGUUCAUGUCAAGGCACAUAUUGUGCAGCUGGGCUGCAGCAUACACUACUUGACAGUAGAAUCAGGACUUUUAGAUUUGUGUGAUGUAGGUGAUGCAAUCAUGGCAGAUAAGGGAUUUACAAUCUCCGACUUGACAACACCAAAAGGUAUACUCCUAAUAAUUCCACCAAAGAAACAUAAGAGGAAACAGCUGACUGCUGUAGAAAUUGAACAAACUAGGAGAAUAGCAAACUUGAGAAUCCACGUAGAAAGGCACAUGGAACGUGUCAAGAAUUUCAAAAUU